CCUACGGGAGACAGCAGUGGGGAAUAUUGCACAAUGGGGGAAACCCUGAUGCAGCGACGCCGCGUGAGCGAUGAAGUAUUUCGGUAUGUAAAGCUCUAUCAGCAGGGAAGAAAAUGACGGUACCUGACUAAGAAGCCCAGGCUAACUACGUGCCAGCAGCCGCGGGAAUACGUAGGGGGCAAGCGUUAUCCGGAUUUACUGGGUGUGAAGGGAGCGUAGACGGUGAUGCAAGCCAGAUGUGAAAGCCCGGGGCUCAAACCCGGGACUGCAUUUGGAACUGUAUAGCUGGAUUGUCGGAGAGGCAGGCGGAAUUCCUAGUGUAGCGGUGAAAUGCGUAGAGAUUAGGAGGAACAACAGUGGCGAAGGCGGCCUGCUGGACGAUGACGGACGUUGAGGCUCGAAAGCGUGGGGAGCAAACAGGAUUAGAUACCCGAGUAGUC
rnacentral:rRNA from 1 species